rnacentral:rRNA from 1 species
UGAAAAGAACCCCGGGAGGGGAGUGAAAGAGAACCUGAAACUGUGUGCUUACAAGUAGUCAGAGGACGUUAAAGUCUGAUGGCGUGCCUUUUGUAGAAUGAACCGGCGAGUUACGGUAUUUAGCAAGGUUAAGUCUAAAGGGACGGAGCCGAAGCGAAAGCGAGUCUUAAUAGGGCGGUAAGUUGAAUGCUGUAGACCCGAAACCCGGCGAGCUAGCCAUGAGCAGGUUGAAGUUUGAGUAAAAUCAAAUGGAGGACCGAACUAGGGCCUGUUGAAAAAGGCUUGGAUGACUUGUGGCUAGGGGUGAAAUUCCAAUCGAGCUGGGAUAUAGCUGGUUCUCCCCGAAAUAACUUUAGGGCUAGCGUUAAACAAGAGUUUUAUGAAGGUAGAGCACUGAAUAGUAGAUGGUCCCACCUCGGGAUACUGACAUUAAUCAAACUCCGAAUGUCAUAAAACGCGUUUAGCAGUCAGACUGCGAGUGAUAAGGUCCGUGGUCAAAAGGAAAAGAGUCCAGACCGCCAAAUAAGGUCCCAAAAUAUAUGCUAAGUGGAGAAGGAUGUAGAGAUGCCUAAACAACUAGGAUGUUGGCUUAGAAGCAGCCAUCAUUUAAAGAGUGCGUAAUAGCUCACUAGUCGAGUGACUCCGCGCCGAAAAUGUACCGGGGCUAAGCAUAUUACCGAAUUUGCGGAUUCGAUACGAAAGUAUUGAGUGGUAGGGGAGCGUUCCAUAUUGGGAAGAAGCAAGAUCGAGAGGACUUGUGGACUAUAUGGAAGUGAGAAUGCCGGUGUGAGUAACGAAAAGACAGGUGAGAAUCCUGUCCGUCAAAAACCCAAGGUUUCCAGGGGAAGGGUCGUCCGCCCUGGGUAAGUCUGGGCCUAAGGUGAGGCCGAGAGGCGUAGCUGAUGGAUAUCUGGUGUAUAUUCCAGAACUAGUAUAAUGACUGAUGGAGUGACGAAGAAGGCUAGGAUCCGAUUCUUAGUGGAUUGAAUACGAGAUAUCAAGAGGGGAUGUAGGCAAAUCCGCAUCUAGAAAUCAAGAUAUGACAGGUAAAGGAUAACGAAGUCAAGCUUCCAAGAAAAGCUUCUAGGGUUAAUCAUUAUACUACCAGUACCGUAAACCGACACAGGUGGGUAGGAAGAGAAUUCUAAGACGCGCGAGAAAACCCUUGUUAAGGAACUCUGCAAGUUGGCCCCGUAAGUUCGCAAUAAGGGGAGCUCAUGUAAAAGUGAGCCACAGAAAAGAAGCCCAAGCAACUGUUUAACAAAAACACAGGUUUAUGCAAAACCGUAAGGUGAAGUAUAUGAGCUGACACCUGCCCGGUGCUGGAAGGUUAAAAGGAGAGGUUAGAGCAAGUGAAGCCUUGAAUUGAAGCCCCAGUAAACGGCGGCCGUAACUAUAACGGUCCUAAGGUAGCGAAAUUCCUUGUCAGGUAAGUUCUGACCCGCACGAAAGGUGUAAUGUCUUUGGGCACUGUCUCAACAGGGGACUCGGUGAAAUCAAACUGCCGGUGAAAAUGCCGGCUACCCGCGAUUAGACGGAAAGACCCCAUGGAGCUUUACUGUAGGUUGAUAUUGAUAUUUGGUAUGUAAUGUACAGGAUAGGUGGGAGACUAUGAAGCUAGGACGUUAGUCUUGGUGGAGUCGACGUUGGGAUACCACCCUUUGCCUAUUCGAGUUCUAACUAGUGUAAGUGGAUUACAAAGGACAGUGUCAGUUGGGCAGUUUGACUGGGGCGGUCGCCUCCUAAAGAGUAACG